rnacentral:rRNA from 2 species
GCUCAGAUUGAACGCUAGCGGGAUGCCUUACACAUGCAAGUCGAACGGCAGCACGGACUUCGGUCUGGUGGCGAGUGGCGAACGGGUGAGUAAUGUAUCGGAACGUGCCUAGUAGCGGGGGAUAACUACGCGAAAGCGUAGCUAAUACCGCAUACGCCCUACGGGGGAAAGCAGGGGAUCGCAAGACCUUGCACUAUUAGAGCGGCCGAUAUCGGAUUAGCUAGUUGGUGGGGUAACGGCUCACCAAGGCGACGAUCCGUAGCUGGUUUGAGAGGACGACCAGCCACACUGGGACUGAGACACGGCCCAGACUCCUACGGGAGGCAGCAGUGGGGAAUUUUGGACAAUGGGGGAAACCCUGAUCCAGCCAUCCCGCGUGUGCGAUGAAGGCCUUCGGGUUGUAAAGCACUUUUGGCAGGAAAGAAACGUCAUGGGCUAAUACCCCGUGAAACUGACGGUACCUGCAGAAUAAGCACCGGCUAACUACGUGCCAGCAGCCGCGGUAAUACGUAGGGUGCAAGCGUUAAUCGGAAUUACUGGGCGUAAAGCGUGCGCAGGCGGUUCGGAAAGAAAGAUGUGAAAUCCCAGAGCUUAACUUUGGAACUGCAUUUUUAACUACCGAGCUAGAGUGUGUCAGAGGGAGGUGGAAUUCCGCGUGUAGCAGUGAAAUGCGUAGAUAUGCGGAGGAACACCGAUGGCGAAGGCAGCCUCCUGGGAUAACACUGACGCU